rnacentral:rRNA from 1 species
UACAUGUGGGGCAAGCGUUGUUCGGAAUUACUGGGCAUAAAGGGUGCGUAGGCGGCUUGUUAAGUCAUUGGUGAAAGUUUUCGGCCCAACCGGAAAAUUGCCUGUGAUACUGGCGAGCUGGAGUGCGUGAGGGGUGGGGGGAACGAGCAGUGUAGCGGUGAAAUGCGUAGAUAUUCGGAAGAACACCAGUGGCGAAGGCGACUUACUGGACACAUAUUGACGCUGAGGUGCGAAAGCGUGGGGAGCAAACAGG